rnacentral:rRNA from 1 species
UACGUAGGGUGCGAGCGUUAAUCGGAUUUACUGGGCGUAAAGCGUGCGCAGGCGGCCCGUUAAGACAGGUGUGAAAUCCCUGGGCUCAACCUAGGAAUUGCGCUUGUGACUGGCGGGCUCGAGUACGGUAGAGGGGGGUGGAAUUCCUGGUGUAGCAGUGAAAUGCGUAGAGAUCAGGAGGAACACCAGUGGCGAAGGCGGCCUCCUGGGCCUGCACUGACGCUGAGGCGCGAAAGCGUGGGGAGCAAACAGG